rnacentral:rRNA from 1 species
UACGGAGGGGGCUAGCGUUGUUCGGAUUUACUGGGCGUAAAGGGCGCGCAGGCGGUCAUUUUUGUCGAGUGUGAAAGCCCCGGGCUUAACCUGGGAACUGCGCUCGAAACGGGAUGACUAGAGAUCGGGAGAGGAGAGUGGAAUUCCCAGUGUAGAGGUGAAAUUCGUAGAUAUUGGGAAGAACACCGGUGGCGAAGGCGGCUCUCUGGACCGAUACUGACGCUGAGG